rnacentral:rRNA from 1 species
AUUAAACGCUGGCGGCAGGCUUAACACAUGCAAGUCGAGCGGAGAUGAGGUGCUUGCACCUUAUCUUAGCGGCGGACGGGUGAGUAAUGCUUAGGAAUCUGCCUAUUAGUGGGGGACAACAUUCCGAAAGGAAUGCUAAUACCGCAUACGUCCUACGGGAGAAAGCAGGGGAUCUUCGGACCUGGCGCUAAUAGAUGAGCCUAAGUCGGAUUAGCUAGUUGGUGGGGUAAAGGCCUACCAAGGCGACGAUCUGUAGCGGGUCUGAGAGGAUGAUCCGCCACACUGGGACUGAGACACGGCCCAGACUCCUACGGGAGGCAGCAGUGGGGAAUAUUGGACAAUGGGGGGAACCCUGAUCCAGCCAUGCCGCGUGUGUGAAGAAGGCCUUAUGGUUGUAAAGCACUUUAAGCGAGGAGGAGGCUACUGAGACUAAUACUCUUGGAUAGUGGACGUUACUCGCAGAAUAAGCACCGGCUAACUCUGUGCCAGCAGCCGCCGUAA